AGAGUUUGAUCAUGGCUCAGGAUGAACGCUGGCGGUAUGCUUAACACAUGCAAGUCGAACGGAAUCUUCGGAUUUAGUGGCGGACGGGUGAGUAACGCGUGAGAAUCUGGCUUCAGGUUCGGGACAACCAUUGGAAACGGUGGCUAAUACCGAAUGUGCCGAGAGGUGAAAGAUUUAUUGCCUGAAGAUGAGCUCGCGUCUGAUUAGCUAGUAGGUGUGGUAAAGGCGCACCUAGGCGACGAUCAGUAGCUGGUCUGAGAGGAUGAUCAGCCACACUGGGACUGAGACACGGCCCAGACUCCUACGGGAGGCAGCAGUGGGGAAUUUUCCGCAAUGGGCGAAAGCCUGACGGAGCAAUACCGCGUGAGGGAGGAAGGCUCUUGGGUCGUAAACCUCUUUUCUCAGGGAAGAAAAAAAUGACGGUACCUGAGGAAUAAGCAUCGGCUAACUCCGUGCCAGCAGCCGCGGUAAUACGGAGGAUGCAAGCGUUAUCCGGAAUGAUUGGGCGUAAAGCGUCCGCAGGUGGCUGUGUAAGUCUGCUGUUAAAGAGUCAUGCUCAACAUGAUAAGAGCAGUGGAAACUACACGGCUAGAGUGCGUUCGGGGCAGAGGGAAUUCCUGGUGUAGCGGUGAAAUGCGUAGAGAUCAGGAAGAACACCGGUGGCGAAAGCGCUCUGCUA
rnacentral:rRNA from 1 species